rnacentral:lncRNA from 1 species
AGUAACGAUGUUUUCCAAUACCAGGCUGUUGUUAUUAUAAUGCUGCGCAUAUUCUUGAAACUGCUGCAGAUGUCAAGGCCUGUGUGGUGCCGCUGGAUUUCGUAGGAUUUAAGCUUCAAGAUUUCUGUAGUACUAAAGUAUAUGACACGAAAAAGCAGAAGCGGUGGUUAGAAAUUCUGAGAAAAUACUACAAUUGUAUGUUGUUAAAUAGAUAUACGGUCGGACCUCUUUAUAAUAAAAUUUUUAUAUAAUAAUAUUUUAUUAUAAAAGUCGAGCUUUUUUGGAACCAAAUUUUAUAUUAUGUUAUAAUAUAUAUUUUCUAUAACAGUAUUUUUCUAUAACAAUAAAAAAUAUUUGAAAUAAACGAGACUGUUAUAAAAAAGUUUAACUAUAGUACCACUUUUGCACUUCAGAGAGAAAGUGGCCUAAUAAGUAUUCCAUGAAUCUACUUGUUGAGUCUUUUUCAAAUUAAACAUUGAUGAAGAAGUAAAACGUUAAAUUAAAAAUUUUAAUCUUAGAAAAGGGAUAUAUUAAUUUGCAUUAAUUCUAAGCAAGCUAAUAGAAAAACAAAAGGGAAAAUGGCGACCCGGCCUCCAAUACAAGAGUUUUAAUUAUCUUUUUUCACAAAAUACACUCACAGACAUAAAGUAUAUACAAAGAAUCGAUGCACAAAAAGAGUAAAUAAAACUGAAACUUUCCAAAGUAUUUCAUUUUCAUUUCUAUCUCAGUAUCGUAGAAAUAAUGUGAUUACUUUAAGCAGGGUAAAUUUUAUAAAUAAUCAUAUAAUGUGUUUUUUUACCAAAGUUAUAUAAUUUUAUUUUCUCAUACAAAAAUCAUAAAAAUGUUACUAACUCACACAAAAAUCAUAAUGACUGAAAACACAACUUUUCAGUAUUUUUUCUUAUGUCAUGUUUUAUAUUUUAUAUUCUAUCUCAUAAAUAAUAAUCUAAUUAAAAUAGAAAUAACCCAAACCGAUCCGAUUCACUGGAUCUAAUACCCUUAUAUAAACUAAAAUAAUAUUAAAAGUAAAUCCUUCAAACAAUAUGUUUCUAUCUUUAUUUUCUUUUUAAUAUUUUCAUUUAAAUUUAAAGUAUUUUUUUAUUUUAAGUGCUCUCUAAUUAUACCUUUUAUAUUUUUGUAUCAAAAUCUCAUGCAUUCCGAAAUAAGUUUUUUUGUGGGGGAAGUAUUCAAUUUUUAGUGCUAUUUUUAACUUAUGUAUAUGAGUAUUGUGUGGGGCGGGAUCAGGUCUUUCCUAUUUUAAGAAAAAUAAUACAAAAAUGAUCGAUUGGUCGAUACUAAUUGCAUUUGCUAGAUAAAAAUAGAAAUAAAAAAUAUUAUAUGGUAUAUAAUGCAAAAAAUUAUCGGUUGUUAUUUUUUUACGCGGCCAAAAAAUAGAUAUUUAUCAUAUUUUAAUUGAAUUGUUAUUUAUUACAUUGAAAAUAAAAAAAUGAAAAAUAUGGAAUAAGAAAAUGCUAUCAAAAAAUUAUAUUUUUCGGUCACUAUGAAUUUUAUGUGAAUGUGUAAAAGUUUUAUGAUUUAUGUUUGAAAAAUAAAGUUAUAUGAUUUUGAUUAAAAAAUCAUAAUUAUAUAAUCAUAUGUGAAAUUUAUCCACUUAAAGCAAUAAGCCUAGAAAGUAGGGGUGUUCGUCGGUAAGUAUGAUACAGUAUUUAGACAUUUCGGUUUGGUAUUUUCGAUAUUCGAUUUCUUAAAAUGCUAUACCAAUACCAUACCUAAUUAAAUUCGAUAUGGUUCGAUUUUUCUCCAUCCGGCUUCGGUUUAUUCAGUUCAGUAACAUCAGUUUAUUCGGUUUGAAUACUUACUAGUGCAUAGAGUCAUAGACUGUAAUAUUCUUAAUAAAAAUACACAAAAAUAUAAAACUAAAAAUGCUUGUUGACAAAUAUUUUAUCCAAAACAAGCAAAUAUCACCCGAAAGUGAGAAAACAAUACAUAAAAAAUAAAUUUGAUUAUUAUAAAUGUCUUGUUACAUGCUUAGAGUUCAUUGAUGGACUUAGAAAACAAAGGAAAGUAAAAUUUUAGAAUUUUUAUAUUAUGUUAUAAUUAGUAAUAUGUGUAUUGUGUUAUAUAAUAUAUAUUUCGGUACAGUAUCGGUAUUAUUUUGAUAGUUUAUUUUAAUAUAUCAAAUACCAUAUCUACUACUAACUAUUUUUAAAAUUUAAACCAAAUAUCGAAUAUUAAAUACUAAAAAAAUUUAUUUCAAUAAAAUAAUUCGGUAUUUACCAAAUUAUGCAGAGGCCCAUUAAAAAGAGAAAAAAGUAUCACUUCGCUGACAAAAAAUAAUGAGAUGUAAAGGUGAUGGACACUUGCAAGUAGAGGUGUACAUAGACCAGGUUUGUUCGGAUUUUAUAAUUACUAAACCAAACCAAUUUUGUCUAGUUAUUAAAUCUAAAGACCAAACCAAACCAAUAAAACUCAGAUUUUUUAAUAUCGUUUUCUCUCGAAUUUUUUCGGAUUUUUGGGUUAUUCGGGUUUUUCCGGAUUUUUUUCGGUAAAUCUUCGUAGAACAAAAUAUAUAAAAAUAUUUUUUUAAUCCUAGUAAGAUACAAUAUAUAAAGUGUUUUCCAAGAAAAUAAUACAAAAUAUGAGAUGUGUCAUGAGAUUAUCCUAAAAUAUUCAACAAUAAAGACAAUAAAAUUAUGUAAUAUAAAUAUUGCUAAUUAAAAAGUCAUAAUAAAAAAAAACAUAAUCUAAAUGCACUAAGUCAUGCUAAAUUAAUUAGACUAAUAAGGGAGUAACAUGACUAAAAGCUAAAGCAAAAUAAAAAUAGGUUAUGCAUUUUUAUCUAAAUUAUUGCAAAAUAAAAAAUAGAUAUUCAAUAAACACUCGUUCGUAAUAUUGAAUUGAAUGUCUUUUGUUAGCAUUAGUAUUGAUUGUUAACAUUCUUUAAUUUACUAAUAUUAAUAGCUAUAAAACUUAUUGGAGCAUUCAAAAGUUCUAAGUCCAACNNNNNNNNNNNNNNNNNNNNNNNNNNNNNNNNNNNNNNNNNNNNNNNNNNNNNNNNNNNNNNNNNNNNNNNNNNNNNNNNNNNNNNNNNNNNNNUUUUAAGAAAUAUUUAUAAAUUACAUUACAAUAAGUAUAUUUAUAUAUUAAAUAUAUCUAAAAUUUCUAUAUAUCUAAUGUCGGGUUGGUUUGGUUUCGCUUUGACAUUCUUUAGUUAAAACCAAAGCAAACCAAUUAUGAUCGGGUUUUUUUUUCCAACACCAAACCAUAGUCGGGUUUUUUUUCUCAAUCUGACGCGGAUUAUCGGGUUGGUGCGAUUUGUCGGUUUCCUUUAUACACCUCUACUUGCAAGUAUGAAUUGUUGGACUUUGAUGAAUCAAAAGUUAAUCAUUUCUCCUAAUCUCGAAACAUCUAGGUUUUUUUUUCCUCUAGUAGGUGUUAUUUAACAAAUCAGAUCCCACUGACAUAAGAUAAACUAUACAAUUAUGGGAGAAAGCAGGGAGAAUUGAGAUUAUCUAAUAUCUUUCUUAUUAGUUGAAACCUCAAGGAGACUUUAAGAAUUAAAAUGGAGUCGUGAAGUUUUAAUUACCAUAUCGCUUAACCUCAUAAAAGUUGUGAAAUAACUGAUUAAAGAAAUGCAUAAAAAUACUUACAUCGAAUCUUUGAAACCGUUCCAAAAUUGAAAUUCUCUUUUGACGACAUAAAACUAGAGAUAUAUAUAUGUCAAAUUCAGCACGAACAAACAAUUGCUGGUGAGUAUAUCAUCCUGCAUAAAAUCUGGAAUAAGAAAUACAAAAAAUAAAAAUAUGCCGUGCAACGCUUGAAAAUUAAGAUGUUAAGAGAUGAGAAAAGAA